rnacentral:rRNA from 1 species
UACGGAAGGGGCGAGCGUUGUUCGGAAUCAUUGGGCGUAAAGGGCGCGUAGGUGGUGCUGUAUGUCUCCCGUGAAAGCCCACGGCUCAACCGUGGCGUGUCGGGAGAAACUGCAGGACUUGAGGCUGGGAGGGGCUGGUGGAAUUCCCUGUGUAGCGGUGAAAUGCGUAGAGAUGGGGGAGAACACUCGUGGCGAAGGCGGCCAGCUAGACCAGUUCUGACACUGAGGCGCGACAGCGUGGGGAGCAAACAGGAUUAGAUACCCCAGUAGUCC